UUCAUCGUGGUUCCCAGUUUCUGUAUUUUUACUCCUUUAGUGGUUAACAUAUUUUUAAGGCAGAAAGAGAGAAUGUACUUUUGUUUUUUUCACAUCCUAGCUAACAUUAAUAUGCAGUUUAUCUAGCUACGUCAUCAAGCGUGGCUUCGCUUCCAACUGUUUUCUGAUGACGUUUGUUUUAAACUCCAAAGCUUUUUCUCUCCAAGUGCAAGUGCAGCUCUGUCUCCGUGCUGUGGGCUCACACUGCUUCAGCUCUUCAAGACAGAUGACGUUUUUUUUUAACUCCCAAGCUUUUUCCCUCCACGUUUCUGUGCAGUUCUGUCCUGCUGACUGCUAACAUAGCUUCAUCUCUUCAAAAGACAAGACAACAGGUAUCUUCCACCAAGAUGUCUGUUGAAAUGGAAAUGACCUUACCCACUACACCAAGGGUAAUUAUGCUUGGAAAUAGCUUGAUGUCUGCAACCCGGUGGAUGGUCAGUAUGGAGGAGAAGGUAUUUUUCGAGCCAGAGCAACUACAUGACUUUGCCAGCGUCCUUGCUGUCGUUUUUGGGUCAUAUUCUGUCUUCAAUCUGGAGUAUCAGGAGUCAGCAUCCACCACGCUGGAGAUGAUACAAC